rnacentral:rRNA from 1 species
CAUUUGUGACUGCAUGGCUCGAGUGCGGCAGAGGGGGAUGGAAUUCCGCGUGUAGCAGUGAAAUGCGUAGAUAUGCGGAGGAACACCGAUGGCGAAGGCAAUCCCCUGGGCCUGCACUGACGCUCAUGCACGAAAGCGUGGGGAGCAAACAGGAUUAGAUACCCUGGUAGUCCACGCCCUAAACGAUGUCAACUGGUUGUUGGACGGCUUGCUGUUCAGUAACGAAGCUAACGCGUGAAGUUGACCGCCUGGGGAGUACGGCCGCAAGGUUGAGACUCAAAGGAAUUGACGGGGACCCGCACAAGCGGUGGAUGAUGUGGUUUAAUUCGAUGCAACGCGAAAAACCUUACCUACCCUUGACAUGUCUAGAAGUUUCCAGAGAUGGAUUCGUGCUCGAAAGAGAACUAGAACACAGGUGCUGCAUGGCCGUCGUCAGCUCGUGUCGUGAGAUGUUGGGUUAAGUCCCGCAACGAGCGCAACCCUUAUCAUUAGUUGCUACGCAAGGGCACUCUAAUGAGACUGCCGGUGACAAACCGGAGGAAGGUGGGGAUGACGUCAGGUCAUCAUGGCCCUUAUGGGUAGGGCUACACACGUCAUACAAUGGCCGGUACAGAGGGCUGCCAACCCGCGAGGGGGAGCUAAUCUCAGAAAACCGGUCGUAGUCCGGAUCGCAGUCUGCAACUCGACUGCGUGAAGUCGGAAUCGCUAGUAAUCGCGGAUCAGCUUGCCGCGGUGAAUACGUUCCCGGGUCUUGUACACACCGCCCGUCACACCAUGGGAGCGGGUUCUGCCAGAAGUAGUUAGCCUAACCGCAAGGAGGGCGAUUACCACGGCAGGGUUCGUGACUGGGGUGAAGUCGUAACAAGGUAUCAAUCCCGCGG